rnacentral:rRNA from 1 species
GGAGGAAAAGAAAGCAACUGCGAUUGCCCUAGUAACGGCGAGUGAAGCGGCAGCAGCCCAGAUUUGGAAUCUGGCCCCCUUGCGGGGCCCGAGUUGUAAUCUGCAGAGGAAGCGUCUGGCGCGGCGCCGGCCUAGUUCCCUGGAACGGGACGCCGUAGAGGGUGACAGCCCCGUACGGUCGGCCGCCAAGCCUGUGUGUCGCUCCUUCGAAGAGUCGCGUAGUUUGGGAAUGCUGCGCAAAGUGGGAGGUAUGCUCCUCCUAAGGCUAAAUACCGGCCAGAGACCGAUAGCGCACAAGUAGAGUGAUCGAAAGAUGAAAAGUACCUUGAAAAUGGGGUUAAACAGUACGUGAAAUUGCCAAAGGGGAAGCGCUCGUGGCCAGACUCGCGCCCGGCGGAUCAUCCGGCUCUCCCGCCGGUGCACUCUGCCGGGCUCGGGCCAGCGUCGGUCGGCGCCGGUACUGAAAGGCGGUGCGAACGUGGCUCCCUUCGGGGAGUGUUAUAGCGCGCCGCGUAAUGUGCUGGUGCCGUCCGAGGACCGCGCUUUAUGCAAGGACGCUGGCGUAAUGGCCACUAGCGGCCCGUCUUGAAACACGGACCAAGGAGUCGCCCAGAGGCGCGAGUGUGCGGGUGACAAACCCCUGCGCGUAGUGAAAGCGAACGCUGGUGGGAGCCCUCACGGGCGCACCACCGACCGAUCCUGAUGUCUUCGGAUGGAUUUGAGUAUGAGCGUCUCUGGUCGGACCCGAAAGAGGGUGAACUAUGCUUGGGUAGGGUGAAGCCAGAGGAAACUCUGGUGGAGGCCCCGUU